ACUCCUACGGGAGGCAGCAGUAGGGAUUCUUCCGCAAUGGACGAAAGUCUGACGGAGCAACGCCGCGUGAGCGAAGAAGGCCUUCGGGUAUAAAGCUCGUGUUAGGGAAGAACAAGUAGCGCAGUAACUGGCGUACUAGACCUCCUCCGGAGCCCU
rnacentral:rRNA from 1 species